rnacentral:lncRNA from 1 species
GCCUCCCCCAAAUGUCAUGAUCUACGACCGUCUCGCCGAAGCCGUCAAAGCCAAGCUCAAAAACCUAGAAAACCCCGACCCGAAGUUCUUAAAGUACGGAUCCCCGCACCCAACCCUUACUUCCCACACGCACAUCCUCGCUGCGCCGGAGACCAAAAUCGCGACUUUGCCUAACGGACUCCGCGUCGCCACCGAGUCGAACCUCGCCGCGAAGACGGCCACAGUUGGAGUUUGGAUUGACGCCGGCUCGAGGUUCGAGACUGAUGAGACGAACGGGACGGCUCAUUUCUUGGAGCAUAUGAUAUUCAAGGGGACGGAGAAGCGGACUGCGAGAGAUUUGGA